GGAGGAAGGUGGGGAUGACGUCAAGUCAUCAUGGCCCUUAUGUCCAGGGCUACACACGUGCUACAAUGGGUGAGACAGAGUGACGCGAAGCCGCGAGGUGGAGCAAAUCGCAGAAAUCAUCCGUAGUUCGGAUUGGAGUCUGAAACCCGACUCCAUGAAGGUGGAAUCGCUAGUAAUCGCGCAUCAGCAUGGCGCGGUGAAUACGCUCCCGGGCCUU
rnacentral:rRNA from 1 species